CUUUCCUACAGCAACGAAGGAAGCUCCCUGUUUCUUCUUCCCUCAGAGGCACCCUUUGCACAUCCCACUUUCUCGCUGCUAUGUGAAAGCAAUGACAUCACCUAAAGCAUUCUGAGAUCACAUAGCAGGCUCGGAAAACAUGCAGGAACUGAAGUGGCUGCAGAAGCCGGAUGUAGCCUGCUCACAGCCCUGAAAGCACUCUCUUAUGAUGGCUUGGGCUAGAGGAUAAAAUUUCUGACACAGACGGCACAGACACAGGGCAAAGCAAGACAGACAAAAUCAGCAGUAAUAUCUGUGUGCAGCUAGAACAGAGCCGAGCAUCUUUAAUAAUCUGUAAUCCCUUACCCUGGAAAGAAGACUUAAGUCACUUCUCUCCUACGUCUUAUUUGACAAGAGGGCAUGAUUGCACAAUCAUUAAUAGCUGAUAUCCACACUGCCUAACAGUACUAAUUUGAUGCAGAUCAGGCAGCAGUCUGCAGCUGCACCUCUGUUAAAUUAGCCAGAGAAUAUGACAGAGCAUUUAGGCCAUUGUAAUACUAGCUAGGGGUGAAUAUAGCUGAUCCAGAGAUAUCACAGAUGUGCAUAUAGAUAGUCCAAGAGCCAGCACAAAGUCUACCGGUACACACCAAAAUCCUUUGAACAAAUCUGAAAGAGCAGAAUAAAUUUAUUGGUGCCACGUGGCCCGGUUAUUCUGUUUUUUAUCUCAGAUGUCCUAAAGCUGCAUCAACUAUGUCAUUGAAACACUGUCAUUAUGUUCAACUGUGUCAUUGAAACAUUGCCAUUAUGUUCAAGAGGCAGGGAGAGCCUCUUUGGGUACACAGGCGUGGAGACAAAACUUGUUAAGAUAGAGCCCAAAUUGCCCUGAUUGCCAUGACUCACAGCCCACUGUGUCUAGGAGCUGCUGGUACUUAAGGUUUAUGAACCUCACUACCUUACUACUCAAUCCCACAGGCUAACGAGCACCCCAUGAUUUAAAUGAGUUUGAGGGGUGCUCAGUUCACAACACUGAAUAAUUGGCUGCCAAUGAAUGGUUUUGAGCCCAGGAGCAUCCCCUUCAGGACAGGGAAGUUAGCCAGAAACGAUUUGGUGACGUGAAAGCAGACAAGAGCCCAAGAUGCUGCCUAGUUCAGAGCUUCGGGCAGAGCUGUGCCGCGUCACUCGCUGGAUGGAAACAUGCAACUCCCUGCGGUGCUGCAGCAAUGAAUAUGCAAGAAACGCUACCUUGGUACAGAACAGAAAAAUCCGUGCAGGUUAUACUGACUGUGGGAAGUGAGGCUGUCGUGAUGAAGCGAGAAUGAGGUGGCUGUGAGGUUUCUCCAAGGAGUCUUUAACUACCCCGUGGGUAUAUUAGCGCCUGCCUGCAACACGUGAAACACUUGAGUAUUAGCUUAGCUCUCUUUCUCCAGUUAAAAGCAUUAAAUUGCAGAUGCCAAGUGUUUUCUUCCCCUCAUUCUCUUUCAAAUUCCUGAAAGCUAAAGUAAUUUUGUCAUGACUCACAUUAUAAAAAGAACAAGUGAUGUGACUGCUCCCACUUAUCAUGCACAUGUACAAAACAAAUAUUCUCUGUCCGCUCUACCUUGACUUGCUGGUGCCUGCAGUCCCAUCAUCAUAGCCAUCUGUUUAAGCAUUAAUGCCAAGCUCUGCUCCAUGAAGUCAUUUUUUUAAUUUUUUUUCCAGGGGGUGGAAAUCUUUUUUUCCUCCCCCCCAAUCAUUUUUAUAUCACUCCCACUAAAUGCACUAGGCUCGAUACAUGAGCAGAAGGAUUUGGCAAUGGCAUGAGUAAAAAUCCCGUGUGUUGACAGAAAAUACCCGUUCUUGGAUCACCCAGAUUGGACCCAAAUCACAGUGCUGAAACACAGGAGAAACUGAAAACAGGCACCUCCACUUGUGGUUUAUCCACAAGGACUUCUCUCCCAGAACAUAGGACUGAUGUCACCAGGCUUCUCCAUGAAUACCAUUCA